rnacentral:lncRNA from 1 species
AUGAAGACCAGGACUAGUAUUUUUUUUUUCCAGCAAGAGCUAGAAAAUCAUCAUGUGGGCUGUGCGGCUUUGAAAGAAAAGACCUUUCCAGUUCUCCACAGGUUGUGUGCUUUACUGAUGCCCUCCACCCCAAAACAUUUUGGGAAUGACAGAAGACAACCUAUCUCACAGAAAAUAGAAGACAAGAGGGAAAUUUUCUUGUUACUGGUAGGGAUGGAUAGUUUUUCACUUUUUCUAAGAAAGUUCUACAUAACCUUUAGAAGAAGCUCCAAGCCAGGCGUGGUGGUGUGUGCUGGUAAUCUCAGGAUUUGGGAGACUGAGGCAAGAGGAUUACAUUUAACCUUGGAUGGGAAAGUUUAGCAUAAAUCUGGGUUCAAUUUUUUAAAAUUAAAAAAAAAGUUGUUUUAAGCACAGCACUAGAAGUGUAUAUUAUGGUUUCUAUCUAGACUGUCCCAUGCACUCCUAGGUAGGGCUUUGGGCAUUACUGGAUCAUGAGUGUGCAGGACUGGAUCACAGGUAUGAGUAACUGGAUUAGUCCAUUGAUUGGUUUAGCACAGUUCUGGGUGUGGAUGAUGGGAAGACGCACUCUGUGUGGGUGGCAUCAACCAGUGUACUUUUAGCCUGAAUGGAAUAAAAAGGGAAAUAAAGGAAGCUUGGGGCUUUCUGCCUGCCCUGCCAUGGACUACUUCUCCUCCGCCCUGCCAGGCUGCCUUGGAACCAGCUGACUACGGACAGAAACCUCUAUGAACUGUGAGUACAAUAAGCCUUUCCUCCUUUUACAUGAGGAAGAUGAGUAUUUUGUUCCAGCAAUGAGAAAGUAACUAAGACAUAAAUAUAGCUCAAUGCAAAGGUCCUGCGUUCAAUUUCCAAAACCAUUUCUCCUUCUCCCCACACAAACACAAAGCUCAAAUUUUAACAUCCAGCUGUUUUGGUCAAUUAAUUCCUCAUCAAUCUGUUUUUCAGCAAGAUUUCUUCAUUCUAGAAACUUCAGUGUGACAUGAUUCAUGAGAUAAGAAACGUAACAGACAUUGAACCACAGUUUUCAUCCAAAGGUAGCUUGACUGGAAGAGGCAAAGAGACAGUUUCCUAAGAUGCCACUUUUUAAUGUCCCAUCUGGACAGACUUCUCUUACAUGCAAUAUUGCGACUUUCAACUUAACAUUCUGAAGGAUUAGGCAGCCAGUUCCUCUCCUCUGUUCCAGGUAAAAUAGCCCACAGGAAGCACAUCCACUGGUGCUCACUGGAGUUGCUAAUGAUGAGAAUUCUCAGACAAAGGGUGUGAGUGACCUCAUACAAGAUGAAAAAUUACCACAGACUACUAUAGAGGUCUGUAGUGUCUGGGUAGCCUCUGGAAAAUUGGAAGAAAUGUAACGAUGGCUUUUUGUGUCAAACCAGAGACUCAGUGGGCAAGACAGUAAACUUCAUGAUACAAUUAAAAAUCUAUUUAAGCUUUCUUUCAGUCUGUUUAGGUACUUUUCUUGUCUGUAAUGUCACACGUGAAUUCUGGGGUGGCUCACACAGAACCACGGCACUGGGGGGAGCUCAGCUGUUUCUGCAUUAUAACUCCAUUUGGUGGACACUGCAUUGCCCAUCAACACGGGCUGUUCUGGUCACAAAUUCAAUCCUGUGAUGUUCCCUUCAGUUCCUCUUUUUGUCACUUCCCUACUAUUCUUGGGCACACAGGGAUUUUUCUGCUUUUCUACCUACUGGGGCCUAAGAUUUUGUGAUGCUAAGACUUCAAUAACCAAGACCUAAUGCAUAGCCGAAUUUUCCCCCUUAAGAAUCUCUCCUGUUCUCGAGGUGUACUCCAGAAAAUUAGGUCCAAGUGCCUCCCCCUCCCCCUCUCCCUUCUGGCUGUUGUGAAUGAUUCUGCUGUGAACGUGGGCCCUGUUCAAGUUUUUACCUUCAAUUCUUUUGUAUCUAUACCCAAGAGUAAAAUUGGCGGGUCCUAUGGUAAUUGUAUGCUUAUUUGCUGUGCUAGUGUUUCAUCAUUAUGACAAAAUCUUUGAGAAAAUCAAUUUAAAGGAAGAAAAAUGAUUUCAGAGGUUUUAGUUCACAGUUACAUAUCUUGGUAUUUUUUGGGUCUCUAAGAAGGCAUAACAUCGUGGAAGACAAAAGCUACUUACCUCAUGGCACCCAGGAGAGGGAAAGGUGGGGUGGGGCACUGAGAGAGAAAGAACCAAGAAACUAAGAAUGGACUGGGGAUAAAACAUACCUUCAGAGUCAUGCCCUGAGGACCUACUCCCUCACCCGGGCUCUGCCUGCUGAAGUUUCCACUGUCUCCCAAUGGCGCCACCAGCUGGGGAUGAAGCCUUCAGCACGUGAGCCUUCAGGGAACAUUUCAGAUCCAAACUACCGUGGCUGUACUGCUUUUCACAGCCUUUCAGCUUCGAUUCCCCCAGGAAUGCAGAGAUUCCACUGCCUCUCUAUCUUUGCCCACCAGUGAGCUUGCUGUGCAGGACUGUUUCACUCUUUGCAGGAAUUUAGCGUCCCUGGCCUCCCUGGCCCCUGCCACUGUCUGCAGGUGAUAUGGUAACAUUUCCCAGUUGUUCUGCUACACGCCUCACCCUCCCACACAUCGUCAUGUGUCCCCUACAGACUCCAUCCCCU